rnacentral:rRNA from 1 species
CAUGCAAGUCGAACGGCAGCACGGGUACUUGUACCUGGUGGCGAGUGGCGAACGGGUGAGUAAUACAUCGGAACGUACCUUAUCGUGGGGGAUAACGCAGCGAAAGCUGUGCUAAUACCGCAUACGCCCUGAGGGGGAAAGCGGGGGAUCGAAAGACCUCGCGCGAUUAGAGCGGCCGAUGCCUGAUUAGCUUGUUGGUGGGGUAAAAGCCCACCAAGGCGACGAUCAGUAGCUGGUCUGAGAGGACGAUCAGCCACACUGGGACUGAGACACGGCCCAGACUCCUACGGGAGGCAGCAGUGGGGAAUUUUGGACAAUGGGGGAAACCCUGAUCCAGCAAUGCCGCGUGAGUGAAGAAGGCCUUCGGGUUGUAAAGCUCUUUUGUCAGGGAAGAAACACCGGCUCUAACACUGUCCGGGAAUGACGGUACCUGAAGAAUAAGCACCGGCUAACUACGUGCCAGCAGCCGCGGUAAUACGUAGGGUGCAAGCGUUAAUCGGAAUUACUGGGCGUAAAGCGUGCGCAGGCGGUUAUACAAGACAGGCGUGAAAUCCCCGGGCUUAACCUGGGAAUGGCGCCUGUGACUGUAUAGCUAGAGUGUGUCAGAGGGGGGUAGAAUUCCACGUGUAGCAGUGAAAUGCGCAGAUAUGUGGAGGAAUACCAAUGGCGAAGGCAGCCCCCUGGGAUAACACUGACGCUCAUGC